CAUACACAUUGAAAGGGAAGUCCAAGAGCAGAGCAUUCUGUCCCUCCUGGGGAGGGUCAUAUUGGGAGGCAGCCUACUGGCACAGCUAUUAGGGCGGUCCAUCUAUAUUGCGAGAAGAGGCUCCAAGCCCCUACCCAGCAGAAAGGGAGCUCCAGCACACAUACCAGUGAUGCCGCACACAUCGGAGGCAGAAAGGCGUAUACCCUCUUCUGGUCUCAUAGGGGCACGGAACAUAUGAACUGAUUUAUGACUCAGAGGACCUGCUGUUUGUCUAUGUCAGAG